GCUGGCGGCAUGCUUUACACAUGCAAGUCGAACGGUAACAGGCAGCUUGCUGCGCUGACGAGUGGCGAACGGGUGAGUAAUACAUCGGAAUGUACCCAGUAAUGGGGGAUAACGCUUCGAAAGGAGUGCUAAUACCGCAUACGCCCUAAGGGGGAAAGAGGGGGACUCGCAAGAGCCUCUUGUUAUUGGAGCAGCCGAUGGCUGAUUAGCUAGUUGGUAGGGUAAAGGCCUACCAAGGCAACGAUCAGUAGCGGGUCUUAGAGGACGAUCCGCCACACUGGAACUGAGACACGGUCCAGACUCCUACGGGAGGCAGCAGUGGGGAAUCUUGGACAAUGGGCGCAAGCCUGAUCCAGCAAUGCCGCGUGCGUGAAGAAGGCCUUCGGGUUGUAAAGCGCUUUUGUCAGGGAGCCAAUCCUUGUGGCUAAUACCCACCGGGGAUGAGAGUACCUGAAGAAUAAGGACCGGCUAACUACGUGCCAGCAGCCGCGGUAAUACGUAGGGUCCAAGCGUUAAUCGGAAUUACUGGGCGUAAAGCGUCCGCAGGUGGUUUGUUAAGCACGAUGUGAAAUCCCCGAGCUCAACUUGGGAAUUGCAUUGUGAACUGGCUAACUAGAGUAUGGCAGAGGGGGGUGGAAUUCCGCGUGUAGCAGUGAAAUGCGUA
rnacentral:rRNA from 1 species